ACUCAGUUGGACCAGCUGAUCAGUGUCUUCGGUAUUACCUCAAUCUACUGGGCAGAUGUGUGGACAGCUAUGAGCCAAACUUGGGACGUUUGGUUUUUAGCAGGUGGAGAGACCGUCUGGGCAGCAGAAACAAGACAACUAAUCAUAUUUAGAUACAAUCAAAUGUCCAAACCAUCUCUGAGUGAAUGACAUCAAGGAAACAGGAU